GGGCGGCUAGCUCAGUGGGAGAGCACCGAUCUGACGCGUCGGGGGUCACAGGUUCAAUCCCUGUGCCGCCCACCA
rnacentral:tRNA from 1 species